rnacentral:rRNA from 1 species
GGCGAACGGGUGAGUAACACGUGGGCAAUCUGCCCUGCACUCUGGGACAAGCCCUGGAAACGGGGUCUAAUACCGGAUACGACCUUCCUCUGCAUGGGGGUUGGUGGAAAGCUCCGGCGGUGCAGGAUGAGCCCGCGGCCUAUCAGCUUGUUGGUGGGGUAAUGGCCUACCAAGGCGACGACGGGUAGCCGGCCUGAGAGGGCGACCGGCCACACUGGGACUGAGACACGGCCCAGACUCCUACGGGAGGCAGCAGUGGGGAAUAUUGCACAAUGGGCGAAAGCCUGAUGCAGCGACGCCGCGUGAGGGAUGACGGCCUUCGGGUUGUAAACCUCUUUCAGCAGGGAAGAAGCGAAAGUGACGGUACCUGCAGAAGAAGCACCGGCUAACUACGUGCCAGCAGCCGCGGUAAUACGUAGGGUGCGAGCGUUGUCCGGAAUUAUUGGGCGUAAAGAGCUCGUAGGCGGCCUGUCACGUCGGUUGUGAAAGCCCGGGGCUUAACCCCGGGUCUGCAGUCGAUACGGGCAGGCUAGAGUUCGGUAGGGGAGAUCGGAAUUCCUGGUGUAGCGGUGAAAUGCGCAGAUAUCAGGAGGAACACCGGUGGCGAAGGCGGAUCUCUGGGCCGAUACUGACGCUGAGG